UACGUAGGGGGCAAGCGUUGUCCGGAAUCAUUGGGCGUAAAGCGCGUGUAGGCGGCCCAGUAAGUCCGCUGUGAAAGCCCAGGGCUCAACCCUGGGAUGCCGGUGGAUACUGUUGGGCUCGAGUCCGGAAGAGGCGAGUGGAAUUCCUGGUGUAGCGGUGAAAUGCGCAGAUAUCAGGAGGAACACCAAUUGCGAAGGCAGCUCGCUGGGACGUUACUGACGCUGAGACGCGAAAGCGUGGGGAGCAAACAGG
rnacentral:rRNA from 1 species